CCUACGGGUGGCAGCAGUGGGGAAUAUUGCACAAUGGGCGAAAGCCUGAUGCAGCAACGCCGCGUGAGCGAUGAAGGCCUUCGGGUCGUAAAGCUCUGUCCUCAAGGAAGAUAAUGACGGUACUUGAGGAGGAAGCCCCGGCCAACUACGUGCCAGCGGCCGCGGUAAUACGUAGGGGGCUAGCGUUAUCCGGAAUUACUGGGCGUAAAGGGGGCGUAGGUGGUUUCUUAAGUCAGCGGUGAAAGGCUAAGGCUCAACCGUAGUAAGCCUUUGAAACCGGGGAACUUGAGUGGAGGAGAGGAGAGUGGAAUUCCUAGUGUAGCGGUGAAAUGCAUAGAUAUUAGGCGGAACACCGGUUGCGAAGGCGGCUCUCUGGACUGUAACUGACACUGAGGCACGAAAGCGUGGGGAGCAAACAGGAUUAGAUACCCUUGUAGUC
rnacentral:rRNA from 1 species